rnacentral:tRNA from 1 species
AGGAUAAUAGUUAAUAAUAACAUUUAAUUUGCAUUUAAAAAGUAUUGGACACUACCAAUUUAUCUUA